CGCGAUUCUCAGUUUAACAGACGCGGCCACAGAUCUGGAACCUCGUAAGGCACAAGCUGGCCCGUAUCGGUGAUGGAGAAGAGGAAUGAGGCAGUUAGGCUGGCCAAUGCUGUGCUCUUCUGGCACAUCCAUCAAGUUACAAUCCAUUCCUCUCGUCCUCGAGCGUGCCCCCACAAAGAAGGUUUCUCCAGUGGAAAACAUCCACAUCGGAGCCUUAACCCUCUAAUCCAGCUGGGACGGAAACGGGUUCUUUAACAGUGUUCAGCUGUCACUGCCACAUCAUUGAUCUCUCCGGAGUCACUGUCUCGGACAGCCACCGUAGACGCGGGCACGGAGAUGUGUUAUGAGCAGGGGAGCUUAACUAGGCGGCUCUCUCAUGAGUGAUACAGGGUCCCUGUACUGUUCCAGCCCCGUACAUCGCAUAGCUGUCCUGCGAACACUCAUCACAGAGUUCCCUGCAGGUACACCAAAAUGUUUAUUCUCCAUCUUUGACCUAUCAUCUCCUGAAUGGCAUUUCCAGUCCUGUAGCCCUCCAGUGGUUCCACAAACUGACGGCCAACAGAAGGCCCGGACAGCCUUACGUUAUUUACUUUUAAUCAGCUUCUUUAUAAAAAAAAAAUGACCUCCACAUUUCCCUUAUGAUAUCAUUUACGGAUUUGUAUAAUACACGUGUGUACAUAUAUACAUAUGUAUACAUUUUAAUUUAUAAUGCGCGUGACCUGACCUGUAAUAAAUAGCUUGCUUACUAAUUGUACUUCAGCACCUGUGCUGUAACACUGAAAGCAGUAAAAUGAGGUUUGAUAUGCUCAUCCUAAAUGUGAAAAAUACAGGGUGGCUCCGUAAAAAACCUAUGAAGAGAUCUAAAUGCAUGCAUUCUUUUCCUGCACGCAGCUGCCUUAGAUUACAAUAAUUCCGACUGCAUGUGAAUACAUUCUCUAAAUCUUUGGUGGUCCCCCCCCACACAAUAAAGACCCCACAGCACGGGCCAGAUGGCAAGGCAUGCCUCUAAGAAACGCUGCAAUAAUCCCAUUCUAACAUAUGGCAGGGUACAUCCAGUGGAGGAUCCCUGUGUAACCACCGAACUCUACGGUACAUCGUGUGAAACGACCCCCCUCUCUCCUCUGAUGUGUUAUGUAAUGCUCUGAGUUCUAUUAUCUGCGGUCCGUUCUCUGUCCCACACACACGUUAUCUGACCCCUCUCUAGAUUCCGAGAGUAUAACAUCACAUUAAUCAUGGUUUUAUGGGAGAUAAAGUUUUUUUUAAUUUUUAUAAAUAGUGUGCUUGGCACAUCCUAGGUUCCAGAGACUAAAAAAAAAAAACAUCAAAAUGAAACAGUGAUGUAAAUAAAAACAUGGAUAACAAAACUGUAGCACAGGAUUACCCUGAGGCAUGAUAGGUUAAGUGUGUAGUUGCUGGGGAAAAAAAAAACAUCAAGAGACUGACCUAUAGGCAUAUAUCACACACAUAUCACACACAUACAUUUAAGAAUACUGCCGUCCAGGUGUCACCUUAGGAUUCUUAAGGGGGCUGAUGAAAAGUCGCUCAAAUGUACAAAACAAAAUGCAUGCAAAAAUAUUCGUCUGAAGAAACAAUUUUCCACUUAAAGGAGAAAAAAAAAAAGCGGUUCUAAAAUCUAUAAAUAGGUGGUGUUGAAGCUGAUGUGAUAUGAAGGCAUUAGUAUGGUACGAGCAGCACAGUGAGACUCAGCCCUGACUAAAAAGGGAAGUAAACAACUUUCGGUUAAUUUUAUGGAGCUUGUAAGGAGCUUUGAGCCACCAUAUUAACCCCAGCCUCUACAGCCCUGCAGCUAGGCCCACGUGCAGCCUGCCAGCCGUAGGUAAUGGCUCCAGGAAUAAUGUUACUCUUAUGCAGUCAUCACUAAUUUAAGUCUGUCUGAGGAGCAAAGUGGGGGGAGGGGGGCGGGCAGAUUUGGCUGUUUAAUUUUAUCAUGAGUUUGCACUGUGUGGGACACUUUGAUUUCAACUAUGAAUCCCAAUGGAUACCCACGGUAUCCAAUCCUGACCUUGCCACCCAGCAAGGUGACACAGGACUGGCUGCAGUUGCACACAAGGAGGUUGGGUUUCAAAUUCAGUUAUUAGGGCUGUUGCUGUCUCAACAAACAACAUAACUUCUCUGAUUGGUUGAGUAUGACUCAAUUCAAUUAAAUUUUACUUGUCUACUCAUGAGCUCCAUCGCUACAUUUUGGUUGCAAAACCCAAAUUUAAUCUACUUUUGUAAUUAGAUUAACAAGACCAGGUCAAAACCUAGUAUGUGGCUGGACCGAACCGGCCGACCAAUGGUGUAACUUCAUCACUCAGUCACUCAGUCACAGACAUGCGUGGUGUAACUUCAUCACUCAGUCAGUCAGACAUUCGCGUUUAUAGGGCUGGCCCCGCUGUUGCGGUCCAGCCAAAAAUAGGGCUUACUGUACGUACCAUCGUCGUCUCCGCAAUUGAGCCAAAGCUGUUGAUGAAUAUGUUACACGACACGUUCACAGGGGGACCUAGGAAACAGAGCCAUAAUCAGCUUAACGGCAGGUAUGAAUGAAAGCAAUAACACAGGAACUGCACAGGCAUUCCCAACAGAUUAAAAAAACA